AUGGCGUACUUCUCCUGUUUGAACCGGGGGGGGACCAUCAUGGCGCCUCUCCUCUCGAGAAUUCAUACAUCCUUAUCAGUAUAUGGACAGCUAUCUCUCGAGCACAGGUUGAGGUUUGGCCUCAAUGGAAAAAGAAAAACGGAGCACCUAACAACGUAUCUUCACAGACCAAGAACUACGAGAUCAUCCCUUUUAUUCUGGGGUGACGGCGGGAUCGUACCAUUCUCUUGA